CAUUAAGUGACUGAAAUUUUAAGUAUUGGUCUCUUAAACCAAAAAAUAGUAUAUAAUAGAUACUCUUAAUG
rnacentral:tRNA from 1 species